rnacentral:lncRNA from 1 species
UAUAGAUAUACGAUGGCGUUGGAAAAACCCGCCUUACUUCCGAUUUUUGCCGAACUUCACCGAUUCUUAUUUUUUCCUCUCUAAGCAAAAUUAAAAAAAUCCGCGUUGUCUCGUUCGUCUCGCUCUGGAUCGGCAACAACUCUUGGAAAAGAAGCUCGUUCGCGAGGCCUACCUCGACCUUUCGGAAAUCAAAGUCAUAUUUAAAGUGUUUUUUUCGCUUAGUAUUAUUAUUUUUAAAUCAGUUAAAACUAGUUAUUUUUCUUACUUUUUUAAGAAGAUGUCGAAGUUACUGUUACUUUACAACAAAACAAUUUUUUUUACGGGACUACGCGAGAAUCCUCGGUCUCAAGUGGAAACCAUGCCGGCGUGAUCAGUGUUAUUUUAAGGACGAGAUUGGAAGGCCACGUCUAAAACGAAGUGACAGCUUGGCUUUGGCGGUAAGUGUCUUGCCAGUUAGCAAGCCAAAGUCUAUGUAAAAUCAGAUUUCCACAUAGUUGUACUAGAAUGUUUGGUUAGUGUUCAAAUGUUCAGCUUUAAAAAAAAAGUGUAUAUAUAACACAGUUACCUACACGUUAGCCUAAAUCAGGGGUCAAUAGCCCUGUUCCUGGAGUGCCGCAGAAAACAAGAGUUUGUUCCAAUUAGGCACCACACCUGACCAACAACUAAUUGGUAAUUUCGGCGAUUGCCCAAAUUCAACACUCUUGAUUUCCAAGGUCGGCACUCCAGUACCAGGGUUGCCUACCCCUGGCUAAGUAGUUAGCACGAUGUAGCUAAUGUUAGUUGCUAGCCAGCCAUCUAACGUCGUUACCCCUUUGUGGGCACUGUAAAAACCCGCCAUUGAAUAGGCUGUCUAACUAACGAUGGAAAAUGAGCAAUAAAUAUUUGAUAUUAUUUUAGCGCUGAUUUUUGUUUAAAUGUCACCGAGUACAAUAGAGGCGCAUUGGCUAGCUAACUAGUGUUUCAUUUUUAAAAGGAAAACAUCAGGCUAAUAUACCUAACUAGUUGCAAGCAAAAUGGCACCCAGAGCGACCAGGUAACGCUAGUUAACUAGCCAACCUCAGUCACUAGCUACCCUGUUGGUCAGUUGUAUAAAUACGUUAGCUAAGUCUAUAAAUUCAUAGAAAGAGGGAUGGCAUGGAGUUUGUUAGUUUUGAUAGUUACGAUAGUUGGCUACCGGACUGCUUAAGUUAUUUGUACACAUGUUGCGUAAUCUUGCGAGUUAGCUGAGUUGGCAUGUAACUUUUUAAUCUAUACAACAUGGUCAAAACACUGCUGGACAUGGCUAGUUGUCUGUCUGGCGCUCGGACUAAGCAGUUAGCUAGCAGCUCAUGACAUUCGCUGGUCGUUUUUUUUUUUCAAUAUCGUUGCUAUACAUUUAUUUCGUUGGAUACUUGAAUGUUAAUUAAUGUUUUUUUGGGACCAUUUUGUUUCCCGUCUUAAUUACUAGCUACUACCAACUAACUUAGCGUUGUACAUUCAACGUUGAAACCUCGUCUCAACAUGGCGGUGUUGAGGCUUGUGCUUCUUGUUGGCAAGAAAAAUUGAGUCCUGUUAGCUACCAGAGAAACCGAAAGUUAGCGUUCAAGCAGACCAGUUGUUGGAUAUACUUUUAAAUAGUAGAUGUGUUGUAUAACCUUGACAGCUUACAUAUUCAGGUACCAUCUAAAUUGAGUUCAGUGAUUAUACUAAUUAGGUAGCGAGCUAUUUCUCCGUUUCACGAAUUUCCUGUGUCACUAGGUACCAGAAGUGUUUUCACCAUGGAAGGACCUGGUUGUUGCCACUGACUGGCUCUGGAGUGGACCAGCCACUGUAGACAUUGUUAACAAAACUCUUGCUACAGAACAUUACCACAAGACCAAGAGGUCUUCAACUGAAAAUGUACACCUAAUAACUGACGUAACAUAUUGUAGAAUGUUGUCCCCCUUUAACAACUUUUUUGUUUGUUCUUGCAUGAGUGUGUAGCCAGGAGGACUUUUUAAAGACUAGAGCAAGUAGGUUUAACAGGGAUGUUGUUACAGAUAUGAUCACAUUGAUUGCACUGCAUCGGUUGAUUUUAAACUGCAUGUCCAUAAACCAAUCAGUUUGCAUUACCGAUUUGCAAAUACUUUUCUUAGUGGCUAGGCUCUUCUGUAUGCUGGUCCUUUUUAAAGUAUAGAAUGGUAGUUGCAAAUGUACUCCUCG